UUUUAAACCUGCUUGCCACCGUUAAUGUUCCUGCGGUGACAUGAAGAGCCAAAUACCAGAGUCUCUCGCCUCUUGGAGUUUAUGGGCCAAUUUCUCCCAAGAUGUGUGAGCUUGUUGUGCCGCCGCCAGUGGACUCGCCAGCGGCUGAGCAGCUCAGAGUGACAGCGACUCAGCGUCUGGAAGCCCCACUGGGUUGUGAAAUGAAGAAGGCCUUCUUUGCCCCUGAUGCAGCCUGGGCGAGCCCCGAGGCUCCAGAAGCGAGCAUCUCCCAGCUCCUAAAGAGCAGACAUAUAUCCUGCCUUUAAGACAAGACUACAAUUGCAAAUCUGAGAAUAUAAAUUACACUUUCAUCUUU
rnacentral:lncRNA from 1 species